rnacentral:misc_RNA from 1 species
UGAAACAAAACAAGUGAAGAAACAGAACCUUCUUUCUUCCCAAGUCUCAAUUGACAUGCAGGACACUCUGAUCACACAUGAAACUGAUUAUCAUCUUAAAUCCUGGAAUAUUAAGCUUGAGAUUGUUCCUCAUCAAAGCCUCCCUUCCUCGUUGCCUAUUCUUCCUUCUUAUUCUGAGCUUGUGAAGGGUCAUCAGCUUUCCCAGUAGACUGGUUUAUGCUAGCUUUUGCCUCGGCAAGAAAUGUAGGAUCCGGUUCAUGUUUACUAGAAGGUUCUUUCAUUGCCAUUAUAAUAUAAAUAGCAAUGACAAUGUUGACUGAUAUGACAGCAAGGAAUCCACUCAAGAGUGUAAGAGAAUGCGGAUUCAAUUG